AGAAAGUAGUUUAAAUAUUAAAACUCUAACUUUGGGAGUUAAAAAUCGGAACUCCGCUAUCUGGU
rnacentral:tRNA from 1 species